rnacentral:rRNA from 1 species
UACGAAGGGGCUAGCGUUGUUCGGAAUCGCUGGGCGUAAAGGGCGCGUAGGCGGCUUGAUAAGUCGGGGGUGAAAGCCUGUGGCUCAACCACAGAAUUGCCUUCGAUACUGUCUGGCUUGAGACCGGAAGAGGUAAGUGGAACUGCGAGUGUAGAGGUGAAAUUCGUAGAUAUUCGCAAGAACACCAGUGGCGAAGGCGGCUUACUGGUCCGGUUCUGACGCUGAGGCGCGAAAAGCGUGGGG